rnacentral:rRNA from 1 species
GACGAACGCUGGCGGCGUGCUUAACACAUGCAAGUCGAACGGAAAGGGCCGGCAUUUGUGGGGUGCUCGAGUGGCGAAAGGGUGAGUAACACGUGAGUAACCUGCCCUUGACAUUGGGAUAACUUCAGGAAAAUGGGGCGAAUACCGGAUAGGAGAUCCUGCAGCAUGGUGGGGGAGGGAAAGUUUCGGCGGUUGGGGAUGGACUCGCGGCUUAUCAGCUUGUUGGUGGGGUAGUGGCGUAACCAGGCACUGACGGGUAGCCGGCCUGAGACGGUGACCGGCCCCAUUGGGCCUGAGAUACGGCCCAGACUCCUACGGGAGGCAGAAGUGGGGGUUUUUGCACGAUGGGCCGCAGCCUGAUGCAGCAUCGCCGCGUGCGGGAUGUCGGCCUUCGGGUUGUAACCCGCUUUCGCCUGUGACGAAGCGUGAGUGACGGUAAUGGGUAAAGAAGCACCGGCUAACUACGUG